rnacentral:rRNA from 1 species
CAGUAGCCACGGUAAUACGAAGGGUGCAAGCGUUAAUCGGAAUUACUGGGCGUAAAGCGUGCGUAGGCGGUUUGUUAAGUCUGCUGUGAAAUCCCCGGGCUCAACCUGGGAAUGGCAGUGGAUACUGGCAAGCUAGAGUGUGUCAGAGGAUGGUGGAAUUCCCGGUGUAGCGGUGAAAUGCGUAGAGAUCGGGAGGAACAUCAGUGGCGAAGGCGGCCAUCUGGGACAACACUGACGCUGAGGCACGAAAGCGUGGGGAGCAAACAGGAUUAGAUACCCCGGUAGUCCCUGUCUCUUAUAC